rnacentral:lncRNA from 1 species
CUUUCUCAACUCAGUGCAAACAAUGAAACAACGUUUCAGUGCUCCUCAGUGCUUGGCAACUCAGCAAGUCUCAGUUCAGACAGAGGGCCCCAGAGAUUCCUAUUUGGACCACAGCCUCCAAGACUGCCCAGAGCUAAGGAAUCCCUGGCUGAAAAUGCAUUUCAGACCCAGAUCUGACUCUCCACAUCGGACACGAAAGUAUUCCAUUACCCAGCUGUUCCCAGCUGGCAGGAGAAGACAGGCCCACAUCAAAGUGUCACCUCGGCUCCAGAGGGGAGCCUUCACACCGCUCAACAAUGGAGGUCAGAGGUCACAGCCAAGUUCGUCAGCUCCGUGCAGUCCCAACUGGGCAUGGAAAUGCUUGCGCUCACAGAGACUCUCUGUGCCCGUCGGGAUUCAGAAUGGAGAAAAUAUGAAAUGAACAGCCGGAGGUGAGUGGGCAAGCCAGUGACCGGACAGCAUCCGUGUGCCAUGUUAAGUGGAGAGUGAGCUCAGGUCCCGAGUUCAAUUCCCAGCAACCACAUGGUGGCUCAUGACCAUCUAUAAGGCAAUCUGAUGCCCUCUUCUGGUAUUUGGGUGUACAUGCAGCAGAAUACUCACUCAAUCAAAAAAAAAAAAAAAAAAGACCGACUGCUGGGUUUGCUGGCGGCCAGCCCAGCUCUAUGUUCAGUGAGAGAUCCUGUUCUCAAGCAAAUAUGGAAAAAGUAUGUCGCUCUGAGAGUGACAGAGUGGGACACCUGAUGUUUCUCUUCUGCUUCCAUGUUUGGUAUGCAAUCUAUGUGAAGAGCACAUACGUGUACACACAUACACACACACACAACUGUAUGGCAAACUGGGAAUCCAAGGGUACUUCAUUUGAUAAAGGCUACCUCCCAAGCAAAAGCCAACAUCAUUCUUAACGGAGGAACUCGGCGACUUCAAAUUCAGCAGCCAAGCAAGGAUGUGUCACCGCUACUGACUAUUUACAGUCUCACCCUACAACAGGGCCACAGAAGAGGUGAACCAGAGCUGGUUAUGGCUUACAGAUGAAAUCUUCAGAGGAACACCAGAACAAUGUCUGGAUGAACUAUAAUGUCUCAAGGGUCCCAGCAGUGGGUUCCCUAACACAUUCUAGCAAUAAGCAAUAAAAAGAAAUGGAAGACUUGUUCAUAGAUUCUAUUUGAUUUUCAGAAACGAUCUCUAACAAGAGGAUGGGUAAGGUCAUUGUGGACAAUAUGAUAAACUUGGCUCAAAAUUGCUAGAGAAGUCUUAAGUUCAUGGAAGAUACACAGUCACACCACACUCAAGAACAGAGAUGCCACUAGCCUAUGGUGAAUAAUGAAUUCAAACAGCUGCAAUAAAAUGUCAACUUUUUUCAGGGUACUGAAAAGAUUUACAAAGAAUAGCUAAAGGUCAGGGAUAGUGUAGGCAGUCAAGUGGCCCUUUCCUAUAAUCCCAGCACACGGGAGGCAGAGGCAGGGGAUCAGGAGUUUGAGGCAAGUCUAGGCUACAAGGCAAGACAGGGUUUCAGCAAAACAACAACGCUCAGCUGGCCAUGAUGGUACACUCUAUAAUCCCAGCACUUAGGAAAGUGGAGGCAGGGGAAUUAGGAGUUCAAGGCUAGCCUCAGCUAUACAGAGUAAGUUCAAGGCUAGCCCAGAUUCCAUGAGACUCUGUCUCAAAAUAAUCAACAUGCAAAAGGAAUCACAACAUAGGAGUCUCUGCCUUCAGAGAGCCAGGAUGCCUCUGUGUGUAAGUACACAUAUGUGUGCAUGUUCAUGUGUGUGAGUGCAUGUGCAGAGGCCAGAGGACAACUCGGGGUGUUAAUCCUCCCCUCCUGUCCUGUUUGAGACAGAAUCUUUUGUCUACCACUCCCCACAUCAGGCUGGCCAACCCCUGAGCUUCCUUGGUUACUGCUAUCUCUGCUUUCUGUGCCUCUGCAGGAGCACCAGGCCACAAACACAUGCCCACAACCAUAUGUGGCUUUUCAUGGGUUCCAGGGAUUCGAACCCAGGUUCUCACAGUGAGAAUCAAAUGUUUAAUCCACUGGGCUAUCUCUGCGGCCAGAGAGUUAGGAUUUAUUUUUAUUUGUCAUUUAAAAAAACAUUUUAUUACAUUAAUUGGUUUAUUGUAUGUGCAUAUGUGAGUGUGUGUGUGUGUGUGUGUGUGUGUGUGUGUGUGUGUGUGUGUGUGUUUUGGACCACGCAUGCCUGAACACUUGUAUGCCCACCAGAAGUCUGGGACUAAAUUUGGAAGAGUCAGCUCUUUCCUUCACUGUAGAUCCCAGGAACAGACUCGGGCCAUCGGGCUUGGCAGCAGGAGCCUUUACUAGCUGAGUCAACUUGCUGGUCUGAGGCCUUACAUUUCUAUUAAAUCUUUAGGAGACAAGGUGCUGUGUUCAGGACUAGGGUAGCUAAACAGACCAACAGAAAAGAAUUGUAAAUGACAGAGACCACCUUACAAAUCUGGGGACCCUUGCGGCAUCUUCAGUGGAAAAAAAUAGUGCCUCUCGAUUGAUAAAAUUAACUUUUGUUAUGCAAUAGUUCCUAUUGAUAUGCUUUACUUAUCAAUAAACUUGGUGACUGACCACUUUUGUUUCCUUAAAUGUAGAAUGCCUGUGAAAAAGGCACCAUAGAAUGACGAAUAAGCAUAAAUUGUGUCUCAUUAACACUUAAAGCUUAGAUUAAGAAUGCCCACUAUUAAGUAGGUUAAUAUCCAGAUAAAUGGCUAUAACAAGCCAAAUAAACACAUUUUUAAUUUGGGUUUUUUGAGACAGGGUUUCUCUGUGCAGCUCUGGCUGUCCUGGAACUCACUCUGUAGACCAGGCUGGCCUCGAACUCAGAAAUCUGCCUGCCUCUGCCUCCCAAGUGCUGGGAUUAAAGGCGUGCACCACCACUGCCUGGCAUAAACUAUUUUUUUAAAAAAGGCAGUGAACAAAGCAACUCAUAGACUAAAAUAUGAAAAGAAAAAACCCAAAACAAACAAAAACGUACUGGGAUUAUAGGAAAGGGCCAGUUGACUACCUAUACUACCCCUGACCUUUAACCUUUGUUUUGACCCACUUAAUCUCUCCAAGGGUCAAAGAUAAGCAAGCUACAAUCAUACGGUCUUUUACAUGCUUUAUAGGUUAGCAUUGCUUAAUUCUGAAAAUGCUAAAUGUGGGUGUGGUAUGAAGCUCAGGGAACCUUCUUCACUGGGUGGCCAGAGUGCCACUUGGCAGCGGCCACCUGGGAAGCAACCUAACACUAGUUAACCAAACACUGAAGGCCAGGUGGUUGGUUACUGGUGGCAUUUUUACAUCUGUGGGUACGCCCAAAGGAAAUGCACAGGCAAGAAUCACAGGAGAGUCCCGUUGUUUUUUAAGCUUUGUGAACAGAGAGAAAAAUCCACAAAACACAUAAAAAAUGGCACUACCUGAAUGGCUCUCAUGAGAACGUAAAGAUGGAUUUCCACCCCUGGAAACCACAGCAGGAUACAAACACUUAAAAGUAUCAGUGGACCACCUGUGUGUUGUUAUAGACACUUGGCAAAGGGGCGCAAGGUAACGAGAAAGAGUGGGAAUUAUGCCCUUAACGAGCAAGAAUCAGCUCUUGUGGGGGUGGGGGGUGGGCAUGGGGACUAGAUGGCUGUCCUUUGCUUUGUUCUGUAGCUUAGGCUAGCCUGAAACUAUAUAUAACCUAGACUGGCCUCCAGCUUGUGACAAUCCUCCUGCCAUGACCUAGGUGCUGGACUAGAGAUGUUUGCCAGCACACCUGGCAUGUGCUACUUUGUGAUAUGGCUAGCCUGGUUAGCAAGCUCUCUGGAGAUCCUGUCUUGCGUGGCCUUCUGAAGCUGAAUUAGAGGCAAGCCACCAUACUCACAGGCAUUUAUGUGACUGAAACUGGUCUUCACAUUGAUGUGUCAAGUGCUUUAACUGCUGAGCCGUGUCCCCAGCUCAAAAUGCCUUAGUUAUGGGCAUUUAUUUCUAUAUGUAUUUCCUCUUACACUUCUGAAUCUCUGAAAUCAUUCAUAAUAAAAGAAUAUCUGAUACGAUUU